AGAAUCAACGCUGGCGGCGUGCCUAACACAUGCAAGUCGCACGAGAAAGGGUAGCAAUACCUGAGUACAGUGGCGCACGGGUGAGUAACACGUGAAUAAUCUACCUCCGAGUGGGGAAUAACUGAGAGAAGUCUUAGCUAAUACCGCAUAACACUUACGAGUCAAAGCAGCAAUGCGCUUGGAGAGGAGUUCGCGGCAGAUUAGUUAGUUGGCGGGGUAAUGGCCCACCAAGACGAUGAUCUGUA
rnacentral:rRNA from 1 species